UAACACAGAGAAAAACAACACUUCAUGUGUUUCCAAUAAACACAACAAAGAAUGAGGCUAGGGAGGGUUGCAGAGCAGCAGAGUCAGCCCAACAGAACCCAUCCAGGCACAGGCAGGCCACAGUACUGGACAGCAAGUAUUGGCACACAUCUGUCUUGGCCUUGGAGGAACAGGUGGUCCUGGCACUCAGGGUGCUCUGUGGAUACAACGGCACAGGACUCUCGAGAGAUGGCAUCUGUUAUAGACAAGUCAACACAGUCAGCCCCAAGCCUCCAACCAAGAAGUACCAGUGCAGAGAACAAUGGAAGAAUGGGUCACUGGACAGCAGCGCUUCCACAGUGGGGUGAUGGCAAACUUUUGGAAAAGGACUUGGGCCUCUAACUUGUUCAUCCGAUUCUCCAACAAACUUCUACAAUACUUACUUACAUUUAGACACGGAUCACAAAGCUGACAUAGGCUACCUGGUGGUGAAGAAUACUCAGCUGCUGCUCUGGGAAAACUUCACAAACUAGAAGAGAAUAGAUAUGCCUGCAAGAAACCUAAACCCUUAAACAAAAGCAGCAUUCACAUAUGCACAAGCAGAUGUGUGAGCAGAGGAGGAGAGGACACCCUGCCUGGGCUGUGGAUGAGCACCGGAAGCCACCAGACAAACCACAGCUGCUUGUGUACCAAGCAGAAGGGCAGAUAACUAGGGAUAUAGACGUAAUGGCAAGAACCAGCCCAUUACCUCACCUAUCUGAGAAGGCAAGUACCCAGGAAAGAAGAUUCAAGACUGUACAUACAAAACUUGGGGAACAGUGGUGAAUGUCACCAAGAGAAGACAUGGUUGUCCCAACCCAGGAAAUGAACAAGGACAUUUUGUUGUCUAUGUGGACCAGUCUUAAGUUACUGUCUUUCAACCCUGUCCAUGAACCAGGACUGGAGAUCUCGGACCAGCAGGCGGCACUCAUCGGACUGGCUGCAGGUUCUCCCAGCAGAGUGAAGGAUGAUGACAUACUUUGCAGGGAGAGUCAUCUUGGAGCUGUGGGACUCUCUUGCACCCCAAGCAGACCGUGGAACAAUGUGGGGGCAAGCUGUUGUAGCAUGAAACAACAAAAGCAAACGACAAAACAUAAAGGAUUCGUUACACACACCAUGCCCACCAUAUGACUACUGAAGGCUGCUCUGAUCCUCAGCAUGUUGAGAUUUCCCAACCACCCUCAAAGCCCCUCCAAAUCCCGCCUGUGGUACUCUGGAGUGUACCGAUUCAAGCAGCAAACACAAAAGCUUUACUCUGGGAGUCCGUUGGACAGACACUUAAAACCCGUAAGAUUCUGCCUGUAUAAAGCACUCCUCAAUAUGGACGGAUGGCAGCAGUCUCGAGGCAGAAGCCAAACUGAUUCUAUUGGCUCUGUGGUUAAGGGUACUUGUUGCUCUUGCAGAGGACUGGGUUCAGUUUCCAGCACUCACAUGAUGACUCACAAUCACCUGUAAUUCCAGUUCCAGGGGGAUCUGAUGACCUCAUCUGUCUUCUGUGGGCACCAGGCUCACAUGUGGUAUGCAUAUAUAUGUCCAUGCAAAACACUCAUACGUAUAAAACAAUAAAAUAAAUAAAUAUAAAAAUUCAUUGGUUUUGAUACCGUGGCUUGUUAACACAAAAGGGCAUCAAACUUGUUGUCUGAAUUGUUUUUAAAUUCCUCUUUUAAAGUCAGUGUGACAACAUCAAGUUUGUGUUACUUUCUGCAUUUAUCAAUGUGUGCUUGUAUAUGAGCAUGUGACUAAGAACUGUGCAUAAGUGUACCCUGUCUUUUUCUAUGUCUAAUUUCUUCUCUAACGAUUUCCACCAUAUGACAUACUGAGUUUGGGGGGGUUUGUUGUCAUUUGGUUUUUCAAGACAGGAUUUCUCUCUAUAGCCCUGGCUGUCCUGGAACUGACUCUGUGGACCAGGCUGGCCUCAAACUCAGAGACCUGCCUGCUUCUGCCUCCUGAG